ensembl:lncRNA
GUGGCUGGAGUAGAGUCAGUGUCAUUGACAGUGUGUUGGCCUGCUAGGUGUCGUGUCCUGCUAGGUGUCGUGUCCUGCCUGCUGUCCUGGGCGUGUCCUGCUAGGCGUCGUGUCCUGCUUGUGUCCUGCUAGGUGUCGUUUCCUGCUAGGUGUCGUGUCCUGCUAGGUGUCGUGUCCUGCUAGGUGUCGUGUCCUGCUUGGUGUCGUGUCCUGCUUGGUGUCGUGUCCUGCUAGGUGUCGUGUCCUGCUUGGUGUCGUAUCCUGCUAGGUGUCGUGUCCUGCUAGGUGUCGUGUCCUGCUAGGCGUCGUGUCCUGCUAGGCGUCGUGUCCUGCUAGGUGUCGUGUCCUGCUAGGUGUCGUGUCCUGCUAGGUGUCGUGUCCUGCUAGGUGUCGUGUCCUGCUAGGUGUCGUGUCCUGCUAGGUGUCGUGUCCUGCUAGGUGUCGUGUCCUGCUAGGUGUCGUGUCCUGCUAGGUGUCGUGUCCUGCUUGUGUCCUGCUAGGUGUCGUGUCCUGCUAGGUGUCGUGUCCUGCUAGGUGUCGUGUCCUGCUAGGCGUCGUGUCCUGCUAGGUGUCGUGUCCUGCUAGGUGUCGUGUCCUGCUUGUGUCCUGCUAGGUGUCGUGUCCUGCUAGGUGUCGUGUCCUGCUAGGUG